AGAACAUGUGGUGUUUGGUUUUUUUGUCCUUGCAAUAGUUUGCUGAGAAUGAUGGUUUCCAGCUUCAUCCAUGUCCCUACAAAGGACGCUAUUUUAGGAAAUUGAAAAAUGCAAAAAGGUAUAAAGAAAAAGAAAAGAUAAUCAUUAAUAGUACAUUAGUAAACAAGAAAUAAAUGUGCAUCUUUUAUGGUAAUAAAAGCACAUUAUGAAGAAUUUUUUAGGUCCAGUUCACAGAUUCCUUGUGCCUGGGGAAAACUUUAUUAGAAAAUUAGAUAAUUUCUAAUUUGAUUAGGGGAAGUCUAAUGGGAAAACAUUUUAACUGAGCGGUCCAAUUCGAAACAUGAAUAUCUGUGCUGGAAGCUUCUAUUGAACUUUACUUAAGUGACAUCUAAGACCCUCUGCCUGUCAGUCCACCAUUACCCUAACAGUGGUAGAAAUUCUUUAUAUGACACCUAGAUCUUUUUUUGUUGCACUUUUAAGUUAUAUAGGAAAC
rnacentral:lncRNA from 10 species